rnacentral:rRNA from 1 species
GACGAACGCUGGCGGCGUGCUUAACACAUGCAAGUCGAACGGGUCUGCCCUGUUUUUUGCGGGGUGGGUCAGUGGCGAACGGGUGAGUAACACGUGAGUAACCUGCCCCUCACUUCUGGAUAACCGCUUGAAAGGGUGGCUAAUACGGGGUGUUCUGGCUGUGCCGCAUGGUGUGGCUGGGAAAGAUUCACUUUUGUGGUGUUUUGGUGGGGGAUGGGCUCGCGGCCUAUCAGCUUGUUGGUGGGGUGAUGGCCUGCCAAGGCUUUGACGGGUAGCCGGCCUGGGAGGGUGGGCGGUCACACUGGGACUGAGAUACGGCCCAGACUCCUGCGGGAGGCAGCAGUGGGGGGUAUUGCACAAUGGGCGGAAGCCUGAUGCAGCGACGUCGCGUGAGGGAUGGAGGCCUUCGGGUUGUGAACCUUUUUCGCCGGUGAAGAAGGUCCUGCUCUUUGUGGUGGGGUUGACGGUAGCCGGGUUAUGAAGCGCCGGCUAACUACGUG